UGGCGAUGUGCGUCUUUCAGGCGACGCGGCUAGUGUGACGUAUAAUCUAGUGGACGAAACACUUCAACAACAACAGCGAGUCAUCCACCUCCGUAGCCAACAUAGCUGAAAGAUUCAAGCUGUUUAGACUGUUUCGGUGUAUAUUAUCCACUAUAUUUUAAACACACUUCUGUCGGCUUAUGCCGUUUAGCUAGUUACCCCCUUUAAUUCCAUAUUUAGCUUUCUAGUAGCUAGCUGGAUGGCUAACAUUCCCGACCAUGAGGUCAGUAAGCUACUCUCCUCCUGCUAAAGAAGAGGUCUGCUGGACGAAGAAAGAGAGCCUGUGGCAGAACAUUGUUGUGAAAGAGGAGAAGGAAGAGGAGGAUGUUACAGUGAAAGAAGAAAAAUACGUUUCGGUGAAAGAAGAGGAAGACGCGUUCAGAGUGAAAGAGGAGGAGGAUGUUACAGUGAAAGAAGAGGCGGAGGAACAGGGGAAGAUAACUGUCACAUCGAACGAGGAGGAGGAGGCGACUAGGGAUCUGAUUAACAACAUUCAGUACUAUCUUGGAAACGGGCACAAACUGUCUGCAGUUGUUGAACUGAUGCAGGUUUAAACUGAGAGAGACCAGACUCUCCUUCUGACAGCAGGAAGAGUCCUUCAGGGGAACCAGACCCUGAGACGUCCAAACCAGCAGGACGACAUCACUGCUCCCAGUGUGGAAAGAGUUUUACUCAGUUAGGGAGCCUGAAAACACAUAAGAGAAGACACACAGAAGAGACGCCUGACCACUGCUCCUUGUGUGGAAAGAGUUUUAGGUGGUUUGGGAGCGUGGAAAGGCAUGAGAGGACACGCACAGGAGAAAAGCCUUUCUAAUGUUCCCAUUGUGGAAAGAGUUGUACCCAGUUAGGGAGCCUGAAGGAGCAUGAGAGAAUGACAUUGAGGUUAAAUAAAGUGUGCUUUAUGAAUGUAACAUAUUUUGACACGUCCACUGUGGGGCGCUGUAGAGUCAUAAUAUCCAUAACAACUAGAGGUCAAACAGGGAAAUGGCUCCAAUCGUUUUUCCACCAUUCAUUUUUCCCAUAGGGCUGUGUUUGUUUAGGCUUACCCUGGUGUGACGUUUUGAUAACCAUGUGAAUCUCUCUAGGACAAGGUGACUGAUGCCACACCGUGUGUUGUGAAUGUAUUGUAAUGUUUUUAAUAUUGUAUAACUGCCUUUAUUUUGCUGUACCCCAGGAAGAGUAGCUGCUGCCUUGGCAGGAACUAAUGGAGAUCCUUUAUUCACGGAUCCGAUCAUGCUAAUUAGCAUCAAAGUAGACAACAUGCAAGACUACAAAUAAUAAUAAUAAUAAACUUCUUUCAUUAAGUAUGAUGGAGGCCACAAAGACUACAAAUCCCUGCAGCUCCACAGAUUCAGACUACAAAUAAUAAUAAUAACAAACUUCUUCCAUUUAAGUAUGAUAGAGGCCACUAAAUCUACAAAUCCCUGUAGCUCCACGGAUUCAGACUACAUAUAAUAAUAAUAAACUUCUUCCAUUAAGUAUGAUGGAGGCCACUAAGACUACAAAUAGAAAGGCGACGCUGCCAGUGUGACGUAUAAUCUAGUGGACGGGAUGCUCCUUCAACAACAACAGCUAGUCAACAGACACCUCGGUAGCUUUUUAGCAAAUAUAGCUACAACAUUCACGCUCUUUACACUGUUUUUGUGUAUAUUAGUCGCUGUGUAUUAAACACACUUCUGUCGUAUGUAGUCGUUGGCCCAUUUAAUUAUAUAUUUACGUUGUUUGUCAGCUAGCUGAUUUGCUAAGUUAGCUUAGAACUAGGCUAAUCGCUAAUGCUAGCUAGCUAACAUCUCCGACCAUGAGUUCACUAAGCUACUCUCCUCCUGCUAAAGAAGAGGUGGUCUGCUGGACGGAGAAAGAAGCUCUGGUGAAAGAGGAGGAUGUUACAAUACAAAAACAAGUAGAGGGUGAGGCUGUUACCGUGAAAGAAGAAGAGAGACAUUUCAGUGAACGAAGAGGAAGACACGUUCAGAGUGAAAGAGGAGGAGGAUGUUACAGUAACAUGAGAGGAUGAUUCAGUUUUUGGAGUGAAGGAGGAGGGGGAGAUGACUGUCAUAAUGGAGGAAGAAGAGGAGGUUGGAUAUCUGUUUAACACCAAUAAAGGGUCCGGUUAGCCCUGACCAUUAUCCGUUUCCAAUUCACCAUCGCAAAGUCGCUUGCCCGAUCCAUCAAAACUCCUUACGUUUUCCCUCCAUGUGUAGAUCAACCGUCCUGCAUGUAAAUUCUGGGUAUGCCCACAUCAUUAAUGAAUAAGAUGUGUAGAAAACUGUUUAGCCAUAGUUAAAGGCCUUUCAUAAAGAGGCUGUCAUGAUUGCCUGUGCCACAUGUUUAACACGUAUUGCUUGUUACCGAAUACUACACAGCAGAUUUCGUCGCAUUUGCACAAAUUCUGUCCUGUUACUGUGGUCUUUUUAAAUGUCAAUAAAUAUGUGUGUAAAGUGUACAUGUUUGUUUCACUGUAGAUUUGUUUAAGACCUCCUAGGAACACCUAAUUUCAUCCCACAGCAUUAAUUAAUAAGCUGUGUAGAAGCUGUUUAGCCAUAAGUAAAGGCCUUUCAUAAAGAAGCUGUCAUGAUAAACCUGAAUCUGAAAUUACCUUUAGGAUCUUUUCUUUGGGGUUCUAAUCUCCCCAGGUGUGCAGGCCCUGAAAAUCAUUAGGCUGGAGCCAUCUGGAAGCUCUGUGCCUGUACAUAUAAAGACAACUAAAUAGGAAACUAGGCUGAGAGACAUUAUUUAGAUGGCUGUUUAAUUGUUGUUUAAAGCUUGAAAUGGACACAAUGCCAAGGGACCUUGU